UACGUAGGGGGCAAGCGUUGUCCGGAAUCAUUGGGCGUAAAGAGCGUGUAGGCGGCCCGAUAAGUCCGCUGUGAAAGUCCAGGGCUCAACCCUGGAAUGCCGGUGGAUACUGUCGGGCUAGAGUGCGGAAGAGGCGAGUGGAAUUCCUGGUGUAGCGGUGAAAUGCGCAGAUAUCAGGAGGAACACCGAUUGCGAAGGCAGCUCGCUGGGACGUAACUGACGCUGAGACGCGAAAGCGUGGGGAGCAAACAGG
rnacentral:rRNA from 1 species